UGGGGAAUAUUGGACAAUGGGGGAAACCCUGAUCCAGCCAUGCCGCGUGUGUGAAGAAGGCCUUUUGGUUGUAAAGCACUUUAAGCAGUGAAGAAGACUCCGUGGUUAAUACCCACGGACGAUGACAUUAGCUGCAGAAUAAGCACCGGCUAACUCUGUG
rnacentral:rRNA from 1 species